rnacentral:rRNA from 1 species
UACUCCCGCCGGCGACCGGCGCACGGGUGAGUAACACGUAUGAAACCUGCCCGUAGCAGGGGGAUAAGCGGAAGAAAUUCCGUCUAAUACCGCGUAACAACCCGAGGAGGCAUCUCCUCGGGUUUAAAGGAAGCGAUUCCGGCUACGGAUGGUCAUGCGUCGCAUUAGCUAGUUGGCGGGGUAACGGCCCACCAAGGCGACGAUGCGUAGGGGUUCUGAGAGGAAGGUCCCCCACACUGGGACUGAGACACGGCCCAGACUCCUACGGGAGGCAGCAG